GUGGAUUAGAUACCCUGGUAGUCCACGCUGUAAACGGUGUGCACUAGAUGUGGGGGGUCCUUUGGUCCCCCCCGUGUCCAAGCUAACGCGAUAAGUGCACCGCCUGGGGACUACGGCCGCAAGGCUAAAACUCAAAGGAAUUGACGGGGGCCCGCACAAGCGGUGGAGCAUGUGGCUUAAUUCGAGGCAACGCGAAGAACCUUACCUGGGCUUGACAUCGAGCGACCGGCGGUGAAAGCCGCCUUUCCCUUCGGGGACGCGAAGACAGGUGCUGCAUGGCCGUCGACAACU
rnacentral:rRNA from 1 species